AGUUAUUAUCAUAUCACCUGAAUCCAGCAUUUCAGGCAUUUGGGGUCAAUAUCAUUUGGUUUCUCUAUGAAGGACUGUGUUUAGGAGACUGAGACCAGUACCACAGUGGGAAUCCCUUUGUGUUCUGAAACAUUUUUGUCAUCACAGUGUCAAUGCAAGAGCAUUGUUGCAAAAGCCUGUUUGCUGAGGGGGCUGAAGGUCCGUCAUAGACGCGUUUGAUCUCUCUUCUCAACCCAUGGUGAGGCUCAUCCCCCAGACACGUUUGGUACCACCUUGGUAGGCGGAGCCUGUAGCAGCCAGGAUCCCAGAACAUUACUGCAGAGGCUGAAGGUAUGGAUGGAGGCGAUGGUGGGAAUGGAGAAGUAGAAGGACGAGAGGAGAAAUUCAGCCAAGUGUUAAUAUUACAACGCUAAAUCUUUUGUUGUUGCGUUGAGUGAAGCCAUGGGGAACUGGUCCAUAAAAUCUAGUUGAUGCAAUGGCUGGACGAGAGGCUCCGUGGUAAACAAAACCAAGAAAAACAAAACAAAACAAACCUUAUACCGAACUGUCUUUAAAAAGCGAUGGCUGGGAAAUAAUACCACUAUCUUUAAGAGAGUGUCAACGAGGACUUUGUUGUGCGGAGAGACUUUUGAUUCUGCACCAUGGCGGGGCAUCAGAAUAUGUGUGUAAACUGUAUAAAAACAAAGCCCACCUGGAAAGCAUACUAGCUAUCUCCUUUGAAUGGAGUCCAGGGCAGGCAAGCUUCUGUGCCAAACUUUCUCUGGAUUCGGCUCAGAACUCACUGUGGAGUGCCGUUGCAUUUGAAUUCCUCACAUGGGCAAUGUUCUGAGUCAUCCAGAAUCCUCGGUGCCCGAUAGCAACCUCCUGAAGUCACUGAUGAAACAGGUAAAACUGAUGCUUUACAUCAGCAUCUCCUGGGGAGCUUAAAACCAAUACACCGUGGGCAGGGCUGUGGGCACAGCAUGCUGGGACAUCGGCGACAGCCACCACUGUGAGCCCCAUGGCAGCAGAAGUAACAAAAGAGCCACCUUGACCGGGAGAACACCGGGAAAGGAAGAUGCCUUGCUUGAAUCUGGGGCUCCCCCUGGCACUGGCCGGAAGCACAGACACAGUCUUCAGUCGGUCUGCAGUUCAGCACUCACGCAGUCAGCGCACCAGGCUCCUGGCCCAGGGCUGCAGAUUGGGCCAGCAGAGUGGACCGGUCCUGGCCUCUGCAUGUGAGGAGAGGAGAUGCACAUUACAGUAUAACUCAAUCAGUGGCAGUUCACAAAGCGGCUUCCUGCACUUUGCAUCAGUAACAGUAACGCAAGGAUCUUGAAGAAAUUUACAUUUGCUAAGACGGGGAGAGUCAAAGAAUGUAAGUACUCCUAAGCUAAGCAUAUUCAUAGUGACGAAUGAGCUGGUUCAUGGAAGCAAUGUUUGUAUUAGGAAAAACUGGAAACAAAGAAAAUAAACAAUGGUGUAUUCAUUUGAUAAACUCUUAUACAGUAUUUAAAAAUUGAAGGAGCUGGAGGAAUUGACUUAGAAAAAAAAAUGUCUAUGGUGUAGAAAGUGGGAAUAAUCCCACAAUGAUAUGAAAAUCAUAAUUCCAUCUUGGUAAAAGUAACUUGAUCUAUGCAUAUACCGUGUGAUAGUAUAUGUAUACAAAUAUGUGUGUGCGUGUGUGUGUGUGUGUGUGUGUAUUUACCUAGGUGUGACGUGUGCACACGGGUAGGGAUGGGUAAAUACCCAUGGAAAUGGAAUGUGGGAAGGUAGGCAUUACAUGUUUUCUCUUUUAUACAACUAUAGUAACUAUAAAUAAAUAUAUUUAAAAGACAAUAGACAUAAGAAAGAAACAUUACUCACGUUAUGUGGGUUUCAUCCAAAUAAAUGUAUUGUAAGAUAUUUUAAAACCACCACAAAGUUAAGACAUUUUAUUUAAGGCCACUAUGAAAACAUAUGUGUUUCCGGCCCUGAGAGUCUGGCAAUUAGGACUUGCUGUUUUUAAGGGCUUUGUGCUCACAGCUCCACUAUUUUUUUUCAUUUAGGAGAGAACACUCCAGCAUUCUAUCUGAGUAGUCCAGUGGUGGAGGUUGUGUAUUUUAGCACUCCAGAAUAACUGUCAUUAGGUAAUCAGGAACUCACAGACUAUUACAUUCCAAGCAUGUUUUCAUUGCCUGGGAUAAAUAUUUUGACAAGAGCCUAGGUGCACCAAUAACAUUUUGCAUAACAAAGAAUAACAGGUGCAGCCAAAAGGGAGGGAAGUUCUUUGAGGAUGCAUAUUCGAUUUCCGUCCGGUGUGUGCUUUGACUCUUCUAAGUCUAGAAUAACGACGAUGAUGAUGGUGGUGAUGAUGAUUCCUACUGCGGCGUCAUUGUUUGCUAUGGAUAACCUACGGCGAUACAAUCCUUUUGGAAUAAAGUAAGAAAUCUACUCACGUGAGCUCAGGAGACCAUGAAGAGCCAGUUUCAUGGAAGCUGCCGCUUCCCAGGGGCGCCUGGGUGGCUCAGUCCGUUGAGCGACCGACUUUGGCUCAGGUCAUGAUCUCACAGCUCGUGAGUUCGAGCCCCGCAUCCGGCUCUGCGCUGACAGCUCGGAGCCUGGACCCUGCUUCGGAUUCUGUGUCUCCCUCGCUCUCUGCCCCUCACCCACUCGCGUUCUGUCUCUGUCUCUCAAAAAUAAAUAAACAUUAAAAAAUAAAAAAACAACAUUUCACUGCCCAGCAGUGCUGGUCUCUUAUGCCCUGGGGUGAUCCUUCGUGGAGUAAAGGUUGUCAGUGGGUGGGAGAGGUUUGCCCCUUCAAUUGCAAACACUUGAAUCUGUCACACGCCCCUAUACCCACGCAGAGUAGACGUGAGCACUUGCUAAUUUACAGGUGAUGGAAAACGCCUGCAGACGGCCCGGGUCGGAGGACAUGGCAAACUGCUUUUGGUAGGAAAGUGAAGACUGGAAGGGAUGUGGUAAAGACCGAUGGGAUCAUGAGCGACAGAGUUCAACAACAGGACCGUUAGCUGGUAGUAAAUUGUUACUUUAUGUCCCAGGAUGCAAUUUAUGAAACUCCCUUUUCAACUACUACAAGCAAGGUUUUUCAGGGGCUGGAAGCAUCUUGAACACAGGUGCUGGAGAAAUCUUCGUUGAAUUGGAAUCAAUCGGUCUUUUGUCCAAAACAAACGUUCUUCCAGAUCUUCGAUAGCUUCUUUUCCUUAAAUCACACGUUUAUAAGUGAUGAGUCACUGGAUUCUGCUCCUGAAAGCAGUACUACACCGUAUGUUAACUAACUUGAAUUUAAAUAAAUACAUUAAGAAAUACUAUAUGUUUAUUUGUUAUGUGUAUCCUGAGCAGCAUUGCUAAUUACACCCUGAAAUUUGAAUAUUUGGGAUUACGAUAUUGGCUGACUACAAGGCGCUUAGAAGUAAGUGAAAUCUGUAGAUAGCCACAAGCAGAGUAUAUGCAGUUUGUGGGCAUAAAUGCGGGUAUUUCCGCGGCAUCAUACAGAGAAGUCUUGCAAGCAAACUGUGCAAACACUUAGCGGUUUUCAUCUUUCAUGAAGACGGAAUCUCAUCUACAAAAAUAUGGGUUUCCCUGUGGAUCUUUUGGCCAAAUUUCUCUAUUGGGAGAAAAAAAAACCACAGUUGCUACUAUAUAUUGAAAUAAAAUAUACCACUAGCUCUUUGUAAAUGGAGGAUCCUGAACUCCAAACUUUUCUCACCCAUACACUUACUUUCUUUUGGGGGACCUCCCCACUCACUUCCGUUUCUCUGCUGUGUGUAUCACAGAAUCAACGAUGGCCUCAUUCCCAAGCCUUCCUGAGGCCUCCGUAUUCAACAUCACUGUUUCCCUGGUGCGCUUUCCUCCCGCAAAUGUUUCAACAAAGAAUAUGAACCAGCAGCAAAGAUUUUAGGAGGAUCCUGGAGUACUACAGUUAGGAAUUCUAAUUUGCAUUGAAUCUCUCAGAAGCAGAACAAGUAGAAACAAAAACAAAGACAAUUCAGUCAAGUUUCUGAGGGUGAGAGUGCCGAAGGGCAACAUUCAGAAAUGAGGGGAUCGAGCCGCUGAAUAAAAUCUAGGCUUUGGGAAAAUACUCUGGUAAUUACUAGCACAUCUUGGGGACGUGGAAAAGGCUGGAAAACUGUACUUGGUCCUCAGCUGUUGAUUUGUUCAUUCAUUCAUUUAAAAAAAAUCUUCCUCUUUUUCUGCUAAGAAUGUGACAUAUUUCCUAACAGAGGCCACAGCCGAUCAUAAAAGGUGCAUCAUGUGACAAAGACCUAUCCUAUUAUCACAGCCUCCUCCUUCCAUUUCACCAUCAAAACCACAUGCUUGCUGUCUUCCUAAUCCUCUGUUUUGGGAGUUUGCUAUCUGAUUUGGCAGAACUUAAAGACUGAGAUCAAAAUCAUUCAUCUGUUCUUCCUAGAAGCUGCCUUUUUAAAAAGUUGGGACAUUUGUCCGCCUCUAGGUUUCCAACAUUUCUUUUAUUUCUAUAAAUGCAGAAAUUACUAAAAUUGUUCGUUCAAUCAAAAAAAAUGUGGACACUUUCAGAAGGCUUGAGGUAGUUAGUUCAUCUGAGCCCAGGAACUUGACCUUGGAUAAAUAGGGCAGAUUUUAAAAUGCAUUUGUGAUUUCCUCCACUGUUUUGAUUCUAAAUCCUUUUUGUGUUCUACACUUUCCAGUUUGAAAAUCCUCUCUCUAAGGUAGAAAUGAAAUAGAAGAGAUAUAUUGUAUCAUUUCUUGUCUGUUAAUUUUACACCAUCUGCCAAACAAUGGACUCAUCUCCUUUGUUUUUAAAAAUGCCUUUGCUUGCCCUUGGCAAUUUACACAAGAGCUUCUGGCCUUUAGCCAUUUACUUCAACCUGUGCUAUAUUUUCGCCCCACCCCACCUUCCUUACCUGUAUUUCUCCCCUCUAUCUUGUAUACUUGUACUUAAAAAAAUUUUAAGUUUAUUUAUUUUUGAGAGAGAGAGAGAGACAGAGUGUGAGUAGAGGAGGGGCAGAGAGAAGGAGACACAGAAUCUGAAACGGGCUCCAGGCUCUGAGCUGUCAGCACAGAGGCCGAUGCAGGGCUUGAACUCACGACCCAUGAGAUCAUGACCUGAGCCAAAGUUGGACGCUUUACCGACUGAGCCACCCAGGCGCCCCUAUACUUGCACCUUUAAUAACAAACUCUUCAGGAAGCUUCUUGUGAGGCUUGAGCGUUCUCACAAUUGCAUCACUAGUGAUUUUUGUGACUCGGUCUGUCUUGCCCCAUCUCUCAGAAAUUUAGUUCCCUCAUCUGUAAAAUGGGGUAGGAAUGCGUAACUUACAAAGUUGUUGGGAAAGUCCAAUAGAAUGGUAACUGGAAAAGGUUUUGGUAAGCUCUAAAACACUGUCAUAAAUGUAAGGCCUUGUAAUCUGGGGAGCCGAAUAGCACUAUAGAAACCAAAGAGCGUGGCCUGUUAAUACUGGAAAGGACCUGGUGGUUCAUCGGUCCAACCCUCUCCAUUCACAGAUAAGGCAACAGAUCAGGUGGGAUCAAAGAACUUGCCAAAGCUCCCAGUAGGAGGCAGUACGGUAGAGAGCUUAGCGCACUGUGGACAGUGACUUGUUAUCUCAGCUCGGCUAUACAAAUCUGAUGACCUUGGUUCUAGUCCUGGCUCUGCCGCUGAGUGAUUAUGACUUCUUAGAGGUGGGCUUGCAAUUACCCUACCUCAUCCGUCACUUCCCAUUGCAAAUGUAGCCUUUCACCGUGCCUUCCUCCUGUUACCUUACAUCCUUCUUGACACAGUAUCACAGCAUGGCCAGCCUUCUGGAGAUAACUUUGCCUGCUUUGGCUUCUUCUUUUAUAGUCUAUUGAGACUCACUUGUUGUUCUAUGGUCAGAAGGUCUUUUUGAUUUUUUAUUUUUCCAUCUGCCAUUAAGUGACUAACUACAUCAAAAGCCAUCAAUGAGGGGCACCGGGUGGCGGGGGGGCUCAGUUAGAUAAGCCUCCAACUUUGGCUCAGGUCAUGAUCUCGUGGCUCACAGGUUCGAGCCCCGGGUCCGGCUCUGUGCUGACAGCUCAGAGCCUGGAGCUUGCUUUAAGGUUUCUGUGUCUCCCUCU